AGAUCUACCCUCACCUCGUAGGAAGGAAGUGGCCGCCGGCGAGCGGUACCUCGAAAGACGGACAAGAGAUGGCGUGGCGGCUGGCACUGCCGCUGCUGCUCUUCUACUCCCCCAUCCUCCUCUGCUCCUCCCAAGUCCAAGACAAUGAUCCCUCCAAACUGUUCAAGAGCGCCUCCGAGAUGAUGAGCCUAAGGAAAUACGACGGGGCGCUCGGUCUGCUCAACGCUAUCCUCGAGCUCGACCCCAACCAUUCCGAAGCUUACAGGCAGCGCGCAACAGUGCUUCGUCACAGAUGCAGACACAAGGAAGCUGAGAGUGACUAUAACAAAUUCCUGGAGCUCAAGCCCGGGACUGCUUCAGUGGAGAAGGAACUAGCUCAGCUGCUGCAGGCUCAAAACGCAUUGGAAUCCGCUUAUACCCAGUCUGAUGCUGGAGAAUUCUCAAAAGUCCUGGAGUACGUCAACAAAAUCGUGCUCGUCUUUUCUCCAGGUUGCUUAAAGGCAAAGCUUCUCAAGGCUAAAGCGUUGCUAGCACUGAAAGACUAUUCGAAUGUUAUUUCGGAGACAGGAUUUAUUCUCAAGGAAGAUGAAGAUAACUUGGAUGCGCUGUUACUUCGUGGUCGAGCAUACUAUUACCUUGCUGAUCAUGAUGUUGCCAACAGGCACUAUCAGAAAGGCCUACGUCUAGACCCCGAGCAUUCAGAAUUGAAGAAGGCAUAUUUUGGGUUGAAAAAACUUCUAAAGAAGACCAAAAGCGCUGAAGAAAAUGCUGCUAAGAGCAAGUUUCGCGUGGCUGUUGAGGACUACAAGGCAGCACUAGCAAUGGAUCCAGACCAUACUUUGUACAACGUACAACUUCAUCUUGGGCUCUGUAAGACUCUGGUUAAACUUGGAAGAGGCAAGGAGGCAAUCAGCACCUGUACGGAAGCACUCAGCAUAGAUGAAGAACUUGUUGAAGCUUUGUCACAGAGAGGUGAGGCUAAACUUCUAACGGAAGAUUGGGAAGGUGCAGUUGAGGAUCUAAAAGAGGCUGCCCAAAAAUCCCCACAGGACAUGGCAAUCCGAGAAGCGCUCAUGAAAGCCGAAAGGCAGCUGAAGCUGAGCAAAAGGAAAGACUGGUACAAGAUCCUGGGCAUCUCGAAGACAGCGUCGGCCGCGGACAUCAAGCGCGCGUACAAGAGGCUGGCGCUGCAGUGGCACCCGGACAAGAACGUGGAGAACCGCGAGGAGGCGGAGAACAUGUUCCGAGAGAUCGCCUCUGCAUACGAGGUACUGUUUUAAGUGAUGAAAAGGGAAAGAGAAAAACAAAUAGACACAGCAAGAUUGAUUGAACUAGGUGCGCGGCUUUGAUAUGAUGUUGUUUCUAACUGUAUGUGCGUCGUGUAUGUGCAGGUGCUUAGCGACGAGGACAAGCGUGUGAGGUACGACCGGGGAGAGGACCUGGAGGAGAUGGGCAUGGGGGGAGGCGGCGGCGGUGGCUUCGACCCGUUCGGCGGAGGCGGUGGGCAGCAGUACACGUUCCACCACGGCGGUGGGUUCCCCGGCGGCUUCCAGUUCAACUUCGGUUAAAAGCAGGCCAGGCUUACUGUUUAGUUUUCCUGUCCCGGUCUUUGGUUUAGGAGGGAGAGCUUAACGACAACAUGUGUUAAUUAUAUAUAUCUAGCUAAGAGCUUUUACUGUCUUGGCUCUUACUCUGGUUAAAGAAAGUUUUGCUUAAGCACCAAUUAUACAACAAAUUUUCCCUGAGAUUAAUUGUACUACUGUAUUAUGAUUAUAGCUGGUGAUUCUGUGAUGCAUCGACCAGUUGAUUGGAA
rnacentral:rRNA from 1 species